rnacentral:rRNA from 1 species
UGAGUAACGCGUAUCCAACCUUCCCGCAAGUAAGGGAUAACCCGUAGAAAUGCGGCCUAAUACCUUAUGUUUUCCUUAGAGGGCAUCUGAUGAGGAACAAAGAUCCGUCGCUUGCGGAUGGGGAUGCGUCUGAUUAGUUAGUCGGCGGGGUAACGGCCCACCGAGACGACGAUCAGUAGGGGUUCUGAGAGGAAAGUCCCCCACAUUGGAACUGAGACACGGUCCAAACUCCUACGGGAGGCAGCAGUGAGGAAUAUUGGUCAAUGGGCGGAAGCCUGAACCAGCCAAGUAGCGUGCAGGAUGACGGCCCUAUGGGUUGUAAACUGCUUUUAUGCGGGGAUAAAGUGGGCCACGCGUGGUCUUUUGCAGGUACCGCAUGAAUAAGGACCGGCUAAUUCCGUGCCAGCAGCCGCGGUAAUACGGAAGGUCCGGGCGUUAUCCGGAUUUAUUGGGUUUAAAGGGGGCGCAGGCCGCCGGGCAAGCGUGUUGUGAAAUGCAGUCGCUCAACGUCUGCACUGCAGCGCGAACUGCCCAGCUUGAGUGCGCGCAACGUUGGCGGAAUUCGCCGUGUAGCGGUGAAAUGCUUAGAUAUGGCGAAGAACUCCGAUUGCGAAGGCAGCUGACGGGUGCGUAACUGACGCUCAUGCUCGAAAGUGCGGGUAUCGAACAGGAUUAGAUACCCGGGUAGUCCGCAC